ACCGGGAGGGUAUUGCCUUUGUCCAACGGCGAGUGAGCGGCAAAAGCUCAAAUUUGAAAUCUGGCACUUUCAGUGUCCGAGUUGUAAUUUGAAGAAGGUAACUUUGGAGUUGGCCCUUGUCUAUGUUCCUUGGAACAGGACGUCACAGAGGGUGAGAAUCCCGUGCGAUGAGGUGUCCAAUUCUAUGUAAAGUGCUUUCGAAGAGUCGAGUUGUUUGGGAAUGCAGCUCUAAGUGGGUGGUAAAUUCCAUCUAAAGCUAAAUAUUGGCGAGAGACCGAUAGCGAACAAGUACAGUGAUGGAAAGAUGAAAAGAACUUUGAAAAGAGAGUGAAAAAGUACGUGAAAUUGUUGAAAGGGAAGGGCUUGAGAUCAGACUCGGUAUUUUGCAAGCCUAUCCUUCGUGGAGAGGUUUAUUAGCAGCUUACCGGGCCAGCAUCGGUUUGGAUGGUAGGAUAAUGGCAUUGGAAUGUGGCUCCUCGGAGUGUUAUAGCCUUUGUUGAUACUGCCUAUCUAGACCGAGGACUGCGUCUUUGACUAGGAUGCUGGCGUAAUGAUCUUAAGCCGCCAAAACUUGAAACACGGACCAAAAAAC
rnacentral:rRNA from 2 species